CUCCGGUGAUCCUGCCGGACCCGACUGCUAUCAGAGUGGGACUAAGCCAUGCGAGUCAACAUAGCAAUAUGUGGCAUACGGCUCAGUAACACGUAGUCAACAUGCCCAGGGGACGUGGAUAACCUCGGGAAACUGAGGAUAAACCGCGAUAGGUCAUCACUUCUGGAAUGGGUAAUGACUUAAAUCUAUAUGGCCCCUGGAUUGGACUGCGGCCGAUCAGGCUGUUGGUGAGGUAAUGGCCCACCAAACCUGUAACCGGUACGGGCUCUGAGAGGAGGAGCCCGGAGAUGGGCACUGAGACAAGGGCCCAGGCCCUAUGGGGCGCAGCAGGCGCGAAACCUCUGCAAUAGGCGAAAGCUUGACAGGGUUACUCUGAGUGAUUUCCGUUAAGGAGAUCUUUUGGCACCUCUAAAAAUGGUGCAGAAUAAGGGGUGGGCAAGUCUGGUGUCAGCCGCCGCGGUAAUACCAGCACCCCGAGUGGUCGGGACGUUUAUUGGGCCUAAAGCAUCCGUAGCCGGUUCUACAAGUCUUCCGUUAAAUCCACCUGCUUAACAGAUGGGCUGCGGAAGAUACUAUAGAGCUAGGAGGCGGGAGAGGCAAGCGGUACUCGAUGGGUAGGGGUAAAAUCCGUUGAUCCAUUGAAGACCACCAGUGGCGAAGGCGGCUUGCCAGAACGCGCUCGACGGUGAGGGAUGAAAGCUGGGGGAGCAAACCGGAUUAGAUACCCGGGUAGUCCCAGCUGUAAACGAUGCAGACUCGGUGAUGAGUUGGCUUAUUGCUAACUCAGUGCCGCAGGGAAGCCGUUAAGUUUGCCGCCUGGGGAGUACGGUCGCAAGACUGAAACUUAAAGGAAUGGCGGGGGAGCA
rnacentral:rRNA from 1 species